GACGAACGCUGGCGGCGUGCUUAACACAUGCAAGUCGAACGAUGAAGCCGGAGCUUGCUCUGGUGAAUUAGUGGCGAACGGGUGAGUAACACGUGAGUAACCUGCCCUUGACUCUGGGAUAACUGCGGGAAACUGUAGCUAAUACCGGAUACGACCCUCGGAGGCAUCUGCUGGGGGUGGAAAGAAUUUCGGUCAAGGAUGGACUCGCGGCCUAUCAGCUAGUUGGUGAGGUAAAGGCUCACCAAGGCGACGACGGGUAGCCGGCCUGAGAGGGUGACCGGCCACACUGGGACUGAGACACGGCCCAGACUCCUACGGGAGGCAGCAGUGGGGAAUAUUGCACAAUGGGCGCAAGCCUGAAGCAGCAACGCCGCGUGAGGGAUGACGGCCUUCGGGUUGUAAACCUCUUUUAGCAGGGAAGAAGCGAAAGUGACGGUACCUGCAGAAAAAGCACCGGCUAACUACGUGCCAGCCGCCGCAGUAAAAC
rnacentral:rRNA from 1 species